rnacentral:pre_miRNA from 1 species
CAUGGGGGGGGGGGGGCGGUCCCUCAGCCUGAAUUGUAAAAGGGCACAGGCCAGGCUGAGGGACCCCACUGAUGCAUG